rnacentral:rRNA from 3 species
GACGGAGGGUGCAAGCGUUGUUCGGAAUUACUGGGCGUAAAGGGCGCGUAGGCGGUCUGUUAAGUUCGGUGUGAAAGCCCCCGGCUCACCUGGGGAACUGCGCCGGAAACCGACAGACUCGAGUACCGGAGAGGAGGGUGGAAUUCCUGGUGUAGCGGUGAAAUGCGUAGAUAUCAGGAGGAACACCGGUGGCGAAGGCGGCCCUCUGGACGGAUACUGACGCUGAGGCGCGAAAGCGUGGGGAUCAAACAGG